GACGAACGCUGGCGGCGUGCCUAAUACAUGCAAGUUGAGCGCUGAAGGUUGGUACUUGUACCAACUGGAUGAGCAGCGCACGGGUGAGUAACGCGUGGGGAAUCUGCCUUUGAGCGGGGGACAACAUUUGGAAACGAAUGCUAAUACCGCAUAAAAACUUUAAACACAAGUUUUAAGUUUGAAAGAUGCAAUUGCAUCACUCAAAGAUGAUCCCGCGUUGUAUUAGCUAGUUGGUGAGGUAAAGGCUCACCAAGGCGAUGAUACAUAGCCGACCUGAGAGGGUGAUCGGCCACAUUGGGACUGAGACACGGCCCAAACUCCUACGGGAGGCAGCAGUAGGGAAUCUUCGGCAAUGGACGAAAGUCUGACCGAGCAACGCCGCGUGAGUGAAGAAGGGUGUCGGAUCGUAAAACUCUGUUGGUAGAGAAGAACGUUGGUGAGAGUGGAAAGCUCAUCAAGUGACGGUAACUACCCAGAAAGGGACGGCUAACUACGUG
rnacentral:rRNA from 1 species